rnacentral:rRNA from 1 species
GACGAACGCUGGCGGCGUGCUUAACACAUGCAAGUCGAACGAUGAACUGGAGCUUGCUCCAGGGAUUAGUGGCGAACGGGUGAGUAACACGUGAGUAACCUGCCCUUGACUCUGGGAUAAGCGCUGGAAACGGCGUCUAAUACCGGAUACGAGCUUCAGCCGCAUGGCUAGGAGUUGGAAAGAAUUUCGGUCAAGGAUGGACUCGCGGCCUAUCAGCUAGUUGGUGAGGUAAUGGCUCACCAAGGCGACGACGGGUAGCCGGCCUGAGAGGGUGACCGGCCACACUGGGACUGAGACACGGCCCAGACUCCUACGGGAGGCAGCAGUGGGGAAUAUUGCACAAUGGGCGCAAGCCUGAUGCAGCAACGCCGCGUGAGGGAUGACGGCCUUCGGGUUGUAAACCUCUUUUAGUAGGGAAGAAGCGAAAGUGACGGUACCUGCAGAAAAAGCACCGGCUAACUACGUGCCAGCAGCCGCAGUAA